CGGGGGAUGGUGUAGUGGUAAAACACCUAGGUAUGACUACUAGAGUCAGCAGGUUCGAAUCCUGCUCCUCCCA
rnacentral:tRNA from 1 species